CCCUAUACGGGGCGCCUGUGUGGGGCCAGA
rnacentral:sRNA from 1 species